CAGCAGCCGCGGUAAUACGGAGGAUCCUAGUGUUAUCCGGAUUUAUUGGGUUUAAAGGGAGCGUAGGCGGGAGGUCAAGUCAGCUGUGAAAUGUAUCUGCUUAACGGGUACACUGCAGUUGAAACUGGUUUUCUUGAGUGCGUAAGAGGCAGGCGGAAUUCGUUGUGUAGCGGUGAAAUGCUUAGAUAUGACGAGGAACUCCUAUUGCGAAGGCAGCUUGCUGGGUCGUUACUGACGCUGAUGCUCGAAGGUGCGGGGAUCAAACAGGAUUAGAUACCCUGGUAGUCCGCACAGUAAACUAUGGAUACUCUCUGCCGGCGAUAUAUUGUCGGUGGCCAAGCGAAAGCGUUAAGUAUCCCACCUGGGGAGUACGUUCGCAAGAAUGAAACUCAAGGGAAUUGACGG
rnacentral:rRNA from 1 species